CAGUAGCCGGGUAAUACGAAGGGGGCUAGCGUUGCUCGGAAUCACUGGGCGUAAAGGGUGCGUAGGCGGGUCCUUAAGUCAGGGGUGAAAUCCUGGAGCUCAACUCCAGAACCGCCUUUGAUACUGAAGAUCUUGAGUUCGGUAGAGGUGAGUGGAACUGCGAGUGUAGAGGUGAAAUUCGUAGAUAUUCGCAAGAACACCAGUGGCGAAGGCGGCUCACUGGCCCGAUACUGACGCUGAGGCACGAAAGCGUGGGGAGCAAACAGGAUUAGAUACCCCCGUAGUCCCUGUCUCUUAUACA
rnacentral:rRNA from 1 species